GACGAACGCUGGCGGCGUGCCUAAUACAUGCAAGUAGAACGCUGAAGGAGGAGCUUGCUUCUCCGGAUGAGUUGCGAACGGGUGAGUAACGCGUAGGUAACCUGCCUGGUAGCGGGGGAUAACUAUUGGAAACGAUAGCUAAUACCGCAUAACAGUAGAUAUCGCAUGAUAUCUGCUUGAAAGGUGCAAUUGCAUCACUACCAGAUGGACCUGCGUUGUAUUAGCUAGUUGGUGAGGUAACGGCUCACCAAGGCGACGAUACAUAGCCGACCUGAGAGGGUGGUCGGCCACACUGGGACUGGGACACGGCCCAGACUCCUACGGGAGGCAGCAGUAGGGGAUCUUCGGCAAUGGACGGAAGUCUGACCGAACAACGCCGCGUGGGUGAAGAAAGUUUUCGGAUCGGAAAGCUCUGUUGUAAGGGAAGAAAGAGUGUGAGAGUGGAAAGUUCACACUGUGACGGUAUCUUAACAGAAAGGGACGGCUAACUACGUG
rnacentral:rRNA from 1 species